rnacentral:rRNA from 1 species
CAGAGGGUGCAAGCGUUAAUCGGAUUUACUGGGCGUAAAGCGUGCGUAGGCGGUUCAUUAAGUCGGUUGUGAAAUCCCUGGGCUUAACCUGGGAACUGCAGUCGAUACUGAUGGACUAGAGUACGGUAGAGGGUGACGGAACUCCGGGUGUAGCGGUGAAAUGCGUAGAUAUCCGGAAGAACACCGAUGGCGAAGGCAACCACCUGGGCCUGUACUGACGCUGAGGUACGAAAGCGUGGGGAGCAAACAGGAUUAGAUACCCUGGUAGUCCACGCUGUAAACGAUGAGAACUUGACGUCGGUUCGCCUAGCGAAUCGGUGUCGUAGCUAACGCGCUAAGUUCUCCGCCUGGGGAGUACGGCCGCAAGGUUG